CGUGUGAUUGUGCCAUCCAUCUCCUCCCCACAAUCCUUCCUUGCCCGCGUGCUCCUUCCUCUUCGCGCCGUCAAUCACACUACCGGACACACAACCAGUGCACGCCAUCAGUCGCUAGGGCACGACUGGCCUCCACCACACAUGCUACGGUCUUGCCCCAUAGCGACUCCGCCCAACACCAUGACGCUCUACCUCGGCUGAAGCCAUGUCUGCGCCGUAGCAUGGCGACCUCGGCGGUAGCGCACCCGGUGGCGCAGUCCAUGAGGAGGUCAACCUCGCAUCUGGAGUGGAACCGACGUGCUGCCAUGUCCUAGCUCACCCUUCGUCAGCGCCUCGGCUGCGCCGGCAUCGCCAGUGAAGCACGUCACUGGGAUCGUGCCUGCUCGCCUCGUCUUCAGAUGGGGUGCUUCGCGUUGCAGAGUGGCAACAACAGUGAGUCCAGGGGCCCAGGCUCUGGGGCCGAGCAUCCGUUCAUGGUCGGACGCUGCUAGCCAAGUCGGCUUCGGCAUCAACUCCGGCUGCGUGCACAGCAACAACCGUGUCGUAUUUAUUUGUUUCUUUUCUUGUGUGGACUUCGACAUACUAGCGCAGGUAUGAGCAACCUCCCAGAGCUUAAGUUGAUAUGCACAAUGAUAUCCCCUAACGAGCGGCAGUCUGCCCAAGCUAGGCAAGUGGCUACAAACUGAUGUAUCUUAUCUUCAAAGGAUACGGUCUUAUAAUAUGACAAAGCAUUUUGCAUUGGUUCAACUAAAAAUAAAUAUGGUUCCUCUAUCACUCGCUGACAUGAAAGUCUAAGAAAGUCAUAAACCUGAAAUCGCAGAGUAAUUUUAAAACAAAAUCAUGUGGUCUAUUGGCUAUUGCACAUAAACAAGAAUAUCAUAUAAAUAUUACUUCUUGUUCAAUAUUUGAGUAGCAGAUAAAUUAAAAUUGUAUAUUUCAUUUGAGUUUACUCCGUAGCAUAUACGCUAUCUAGGGGUUAUUAUUGUCACUAAUUUUUUCUUUCGGUUGGCUCUGUAGUGCUUCGAGAUUCUGACAGUUUCCAUCAACAUACCAUGAACCACAGGAUGGAGUUUGCCUACCAUAUUUGCUGGAAAAUAUACUCAUUCUGAUUUGGCCACAAACAUUCUCUAUUGUUUGAACGAUUCUGUUUUGAUGAAUGGUUUAUUUUGGAGAAGUAGAAUGAUCUUCUGAUGUCCAAUUUACCUAAAUAAGUUUAAUCAAGUUAGUGGAGGAUGUCUAAGGUUAUGUAAGAAAAUAAAUCUAACUGAAAUUCUUUUUAGUUAGAUCUUUUUUGCCUUGUUUUUGUCACAACAUAUUUCUAACUCAUUAAGUUGCUACUGGUAUGUAUCUACUAUUUUUGUAUUUUACUGCUAUAAGCAUAUACUAAUUUUGUUGAUUCAGUCACUUAUUUUUCACUAUAUUCCUUUGACAUCUUGCCACUGUCUGAUAAGCACAUUAGCUCCUUUAUAAGUAUUUAAGCUGCCUUGAGUGAAUGUUCUUUGGUGGUUUCAGAUAAUAUAUGGGCAAUGGGCAAUCCUAGGCUUGAAGCAAUCCAGGCAGCAUGGGCAGUAUGGAAUCUCAACAGAAAAUUAGAUUCAGCAUGUGCUGAAAACCUAAAAUAGUGUUGCUUUAAAUAACAUUUCAAUAUAUGUUUAUUAUGUUAUUUCCCAUUCAGGUGUAUCAAGUUAAAAAGCUUAGUCCAUAUCUCCUAUUGUAUAACAGUGAAAUAGGAUUGAUUGAUCUAUCCUUUAUUUCUUAUUUCAAAUGAACAUAUGACUUAUGAUGUGAAUGAGGCACUUAUAUCAAUAGGAUUUCAGAUGGACAUAUCUAGCAGAAUUUCCUUUUUUAUUUUCCA